rnacentral:rRNA from 1 species
AUUUUAAGUAUAAAGAGUCGAGCCUGCCCAGUGAUGAAAUUUAACGGCCGCGGUACUCUGACCGUGCAAAGGUAGCAUAAUCAUUUGCCCUAUAAUUGAGGGCUUGUAUGAAUGGUUUGACAAGAGCAAAGCUGUCUCUCUAAAAUUUUAUAGAAUUUGGUUUCUAGGUGAAGAAACCUAGAUAUUAUUGAAAGACAAGAAGACCCUAUCGAGCUUUAAAUAAGGCUGUUAAAAAAUAUAUUUUAAAAAAUUAAUUUUAAUAGUAAAUUUUAGUUGGGGCGACUAAGGAACAUAAAAAGCUUCUUUUAUUAAGCUAAACUUAUAGGUUUUGAUCCAAAAUAUUUGAUUAAAAGAAUUAGUUACCGUAGGGAUAACAGCAUAAUCUUUUUUGAGAGUUCUUAUCGAAAAAAAGGUUUGUGACCUCGAUGUUGGACUAGGAUAUCCUAAUAGAUGCAGAAGUCUUUAAAGGUUGGUCUGUUCGACCA